AUACUUAACCUGGCAGGGGAGAUACCAUGAUCAUGAAGGUGGUUUUCCCAGGGCGAGGCUUAUCCAUUAUACUCCGGAUAUGCUGACCCCUGCGAUUUCCCCGAAUUCGGGAAACUCAACUGCAUAAUUUGUGGUAGAGAGAUGGCUCA
rnacentral:snRNA from 1 species